GCCCCCGUUGUCUAAUGGCUAUGACGUCAGACUUCUACGACGGGUGUGUCCUUCUGAAUCUGGAAGUUGCGGGUUCGAGUCCCGCCGGGGGUA